CGAGGGGCAGCGGGAUUGAAGCUUGCUUCAAUUGCCGGCGACGGCGCACGGGUGAGUAACGCGUAAUCCAACCUUCCGUACACUCAGGGAUAGCCUUUCGAAGAAAGACUAAUACCCAAUGACGUCUCUAGAAGACAUCUGAAAGAGAUUAAAGAUUUAUCGGUGAUGGAUGGGGAUGCGUCUGAUUAGCUUGUUGGCGGGGUAACGGCCCACCAAGGCGACGAUCAGUAGGGGUUCUGAGAGGAAGGUCCCCCACAUUGGAACUGAGACACGGUCCAAACUCCUACGGGAGGCAGCAGUGAGGAAUAUUGGUCAAUGGACGAGAGUCUGAACCAGCCAAGUAGCGUGCAGGAUGACGGCCCUAUGGGUUGUAAACUGCUUUUAUAAGGGAAUAAAGUGGGAGUCGUGACUCUUUUUGCAUGUACCUUAUGAAUAAGGACCGGCUAAUUCCGUG
rnacentral:rRNA from 1 species